CCUACGGGAGGCAGCAGUGGGGGAUAUUGCACAAUGGGGGAAACCCUGAUGCAGCGACGCCGCGUGAGUGAAGAAGUAUUUCGGUAUGUAAAGCUCUAUCAGCAGGGAAGAAGAUGACAGUACCUGAGUAAGAAGCCCCGGCUAACUACGUGCCAGCAGCCGCGGUAAUACGUAGGGGGCAAGCGUUAUCCGGAAUUACUGGGUGUGAAGGGAGCGUAGGCGGGGAUGCAAGUUGGGUGUUAAAUCUACCGGCUCAACUGGUAGUCGCACUCAAAACUGCAGCUCUUGAGUGAAGUAGAGGCAGG
rnacentral:rRNA from 1 species